ensembl:snRNA U6 U6 spliceosomal RNA
GUUUAUUGAAGACGGAGAGAGACUGGAGUGAUACAGAGAAGACCAGCAUGGCCUCUGCACAAGGAUGAUGUGCAAAUUCAUGAAGCGUUCCAUAUUAAA